GACGAACGCUGGCGGCGUGCCUAAUACAUGCAAGUUGAGCGCUGAAGGUUGGUACUUGUACCAACUGGAUGAGCAGCGCACGGGUGAGUAACGCGUGGGGAAUCUGCCUUUGAGCGGGGGACAACCUUUGGAAACGAAUGCUAAUACCGCAUAAAAACUUUAAACACAAGUUUUAAGUUUGAAAGAUGCAAUUGCAUCACUCAAAGAUGAUCCCGCGUUGUAUUAGCUAGUUGGUGAGGUAAAGGCUCACCAAGGCGAUGAUACAUAGCCGACCUGAGCGGGUGGUCGGCCGCAUUGGGACUGAGACACGGCCCAAACGCAUAGGGGAGGCAGCAGGAGGGAAUCUGCGGCAAUGGACGGGAGUCUGACCGAGCAACGCCGCGUGAGUGAGGAAGGUUUUCGGAUCGUAAAACUCUGUUGGUAGAGAAGAACGUUGGUGAGAGUGGAAAGCUCAGCAAGUGACGGUAACUACCCAGAAAGGGACGGCUAACUACGUG
rnacentral:rRNA from 1 species